rnacentral:lncRNA from 1 species
AAAGGACUGAUCUAUCAAUUUGACUCCCCUUUACUCCCAUAGAGAAUUUGUUCACUCUCUUCCACUGUCUGAAUUAUUCUUACUUCAAAUCUUUGCGGAAGGCAUUCCAUGCUUCCUGCACAAACUAACUGCACCAAGAGGUCUUCCCUGACUGCUGUUCUCUCCUCCUUCCAGAGACGGUCUUUGUCACUCACAGAGUUACAACAUACUAUAAUUCUGCACAGACUGCCGCUCAGGAUGCUUUCAGAGCUUGAAAUACCAGCCAGAAUCCCAGCUUUAAAUUAAAGUGAGGAAUGGAACUAUCAAGUUCUCCGGUGACUCAUGCGUGUGAUCAGUACCUUUUCCCCUGUGGGCAAACCUACGUAUGGUGUUAGAUUUAUAAUUGGGAGAUGUGUUGGCAAAGGAAGAACUGGAACAAGGGAAAUUAAAUGAAGUGACUGCGUGUGAAAGGCUACAAUGGUCCAAGGCAUCUAUCUUUGCAAUUGAAUUUGCUGCUGUUGCCCUUAGCUGAUUAAACCUUUGGAUCUGGACAUAAGGAUUCCUCAUAAGGUGUUCCUGAAAAAUUGUUAUUGUGCUUAACAUGUUUACACAUUUUUAAUAAUUCAUGAAAAGAUAUGUUUGAUAAAUAUAAAAAUGUUUAUGGAAAAGGAGUAAUAUGUGUAGGAUAAAUAUACUUAACAUUCACUUAUUCAAUGCUCAGGCAAGAAACAGAACAUUUCAAAAACUGAAUCUCUGUGUGCCACUGUCAUAUCCUGUCUCAUUUUCUUUCUGAAAAAGCUAUGACCCAGUGUUUUUUAAAAAUUUCUUUUCAUAAUAGCAUUAUCAUUUCCUUGAAUCUUUAAAUAGUAUAUUGACUUUAGAUAUAUAAGAUCAUUUCCUUGAAUCUUUAAACAAUACAUUGACUUUAGAUAUAUGGACUCAUAGUGUACAAUUUUAUCAAAUUGUUUUUUAAAUUCAUGUUGUUUUGGGUGGCUGAAAUCUAUUACAUUUUAACAAUACAUCAUAAUCUAUUGUAAUGAAUUUUAAUAAAAUAAAGCUCACUUAUGUUUUCCAGUGUUGGUAGGCAUUUGAAUUGUUUAUAGUCUUCUGAACUACUAAAUAGUGUGACUAUGUCCAUUUUAGGAUUUUUGGGUGCCUAUAUACUUAUACUUCCAAGAGUAGAAUUUCUCGGUCCUAGGGUAUACAUACUUUCAAUUUUAUUAGAAAACAAGUUAUGUUCUAAAAUGGUUGUGGAAGUUAUUGAUACUCCUAUCAUAGUAUAAAAUCUAACUCUUUCCCACACCCUGAGCAGUGUGGAAUAUUACCAGACUUUAAUUCUCAUCAGUAUUGUGGGUAUGAUAUUAUCUCACUGUAGAUUGAAUGUACAUUUCCUAAUUUUCAUUGUAGAUUGAAUUUACAUUUCAUAAUUUCUAAUAAAGCUGAACAUCUUUUCAUGUGCUUGUUUCCAUUUGUGAUUAUUGAUCUAUGAAGUUCUUGUUGAAGAUUUUCCCCUUU